rfam:Aspergillus calidoustus genome assembly, contig: SCAF6
GGGCGCUUGGUCUAGUGGUAUGACGCUUCAUUUGCAAUCAACUCUUGAAGAGGUCCCGGGUUCAAUUCCCGGAGUGUCCA